GCCCAUUUAAGACCUUCACGCGCGUCAGAAAGGAAUCGGCUCCUGGCCGUCGCACGAGAUCCGUGUUGGGAACCUGAGGUUUUGCGUUCCUCGAGCGCACAAAGGUACAAUCCCAUGGGCCUCAAAUCCCCAGAAGUGACUCCCAGUGCGUGCAAAUCCUGACUGCACUUCGUCUGCUAUGCAGAGGCCACCAGCUUUCCUUAUGCUCUCGUACACAGCAGGCAAGUAACCUGGUGCUAGUUCCACUACCCCACCCACACCCUGCCUCAAUUUGGAGUCAGCAUCAUGAGCAUACCACAAGCAGAUAUCACCAUCAGAAUGAUGUCUUAUACCUGUAUGGAUUCAGAAAUGAAACCUGCGACCUGACCAGACGUCCCGAAUUCGAUGAUUUCUUGCACAUCUCUGGCAUACUUCUCUCCAUCCGACCCAAAGGCUCCUCUGUAUGGGUCUGGAUUCAUCGCAUGAUGCACUCCACUCUGGCGGUGGAACAUCGAAGAAGCAGGAUGUUAGAGUAAGCAUCAAUUUGCAUCAGAUUCUGUGAUUUCUUGUACAUUAAAGAUGAUCUUUUGUUGAUGUAUGUUGGUGGAAAUGGACCUGCAUGACAUUGAACUUCCAGUUAUAUUGAGCCGUAGUCCCCAUUGU